CUCUGGGCCGCCCUUCUCAGCUCACCGGCCUCCUGGCAGUGGGAAAGAAGCAGAGACAUGGCUGGGCCCCUGGCAGGGACCCCACGGGCCAGGCCAGCGUUCUCCUUCACACAGGCCUUGCCUGUGUUUAGACCUGAUUUCUAUCUCCUGCUGAAAAUAGUUCUGUUUAAGAAUGUAUGGAAGGCCGGGCGCGGUGGUUCACACCUGUAAUCCCAUCACUUUGGGAGGCCGAGGUGAGUGGAUCCCUGAGGUCAGGAGUUUGAGACCAUCCUGGCCAACAUGGUGAAACCCCGUCUCUACCAAAAAAUGCAAUAAUUAGCCGGAUGUGGUGCCACUGGCCUGUAAUCCCAGCUACUCGGGAGGCUGAGGCAGGAGAAUUGCUUGAACCCAGGAGAUGGAGGCUGCCGUGAGCUGAGAUCAUGCCACUGCCCUCCAGCCUGGGUGACAGAGUGAGACCCUGUCUCAAAACAAACAUGCAAUUCUAUAGGCCAAGGUAUUCACAGACCACGCUCAUCAAUGCAUGUUUUCAACCAAUGUGUACUGUACGUGAGGUGAGAGUUCACCUAACUGCAAACUGGAAUGUUUGUGGGAAUAUUUCAGAAACAGGAAGGCCCAGGUCCCAUGGGAGGCGUUGGGGGCCGGCCGGGUGUGCGGUGCCUUUUACCUUCCCAGCCCCUGCCCUGGACCUGAGGCCCCACCUGAUGGGCCCAGCCCUCUUCUUCCCUGCCCGACGUGUGUGCCCAAGUUAGCUCCAGUGAGGCCUCUGCUGUGGCUGCCCCACCCUAAGAGGCAGCAAGGAAGGUGGGUAACCCGGGGGUCCAGCUCUGGACCUUGGUUCACUCACACCUCCCCACGCCCUCAGUGCUCCCUGGCACCCACACAUGGCCUGUGCAUCCUCCUGUCACAGCAGCCUGCAGACCCCACAUCCCUCACGCCCCAGGCUCAGCCUCAGCCUUGCAGCCUCUCGUCUCCGACGGGGGGCCCCUCUGCACCCUGCCCUCUGUGGUGGACGCCAGCUCCCAGCCAGAGCCAGCUAUCAGUGACUGAAGGUCCUUGUGACUCCCACGUGGUAGCUUCCGUCAAGGGCCCAGUGGGCAGAGGCCCUGGCUGAGUCAACAAGGCUGACAAGGCUGUGUUCUCGAUGCAGGCCCGGCAGAUGUUUGAGGGGGAGGUGGCCAGCCUGGAGGCCCUCCGGAGCACGGGCCUGGUGCGGGUGCCGAGGCCCAUGAAGGUCAUCGACCUGCCGGGAGGUGGGGCCGCCUUUGUGAUGGAGCAUUUGAAGAUGAGGAGCUUGAGCAGUCAAGCAUCAAAACUUGGAGAGCAGAUGGCAGAUUUGCAUCUUUACAACCAGAAGCUCAGGGAGAAGUUGAAGGAGGAGGAGAACACAGUGGGCCGAAGAGGUGAGGGUGCUGAGCCUCAGUAUGUGAACAAGUUCGGCUUCCACACGGUGACGUGCUGCGGCUUCAUCCCGCAGGUGAAUGAGUGGCAGGAUGACUGGCCGACCUUUUUCGCCCGGCACCGGCUCCAGGCGCAGCUGGACCUCAUUGAGAAGGACUAUGCUGACCGAGAGGCACGAGAACUCUGGUCCCGGCUACAGGUGGGCACGGCAGUGACUUCUCUGGGAAAGAGCUGGUCCUCUCAUGAUCCCGCCGCAUUUGUGCGGGGUCGUCUGUAAAACGGAGCUGGAGCAGGGAACAUUGAGUCCUGGAGCACACAUCAGGGAGGAAGGGGGGCAGGGGCGGGGGUUCCCCCAACAGGGAGUCCGAAAGGAGUGAGGAGUGAAGACACACUUGGCUCCUCGUGCCCCUCUCCACUGCUAGGUCACCAGGUAUUUAGCCUCAGACUUUCCGCAUGUGAAACACAGGUGCUUGUAAAUGGUGGUGUUUACCAUGAUUACUGUUCUUACUAUCAGUAACACUUGUCCACUCCAUCCUGUUCCUCUCCCAUGGGAAGAUGUGGGUACCAGAUGAUCCAGAGUGACUGAUUUCAAAACAUAACUCUCGGCCGGGCGCAGUGGCUCACACCUGUAAUCGCAGCAUUUGGGAGGCCUAGGUGGGCGGAUCACUUGAGGUCAGGAGUUUGAGACCAGCCUGGCCAACAUGGUGAAACCCUGUCUGUACUAAAAAUGCAAAAAUUAACCGUGCAUGGUGGUGCAUGCCUGUAAUCCCAGCUACUUGGGAGGCUGAGGCAGGAGAAUCACUUGAACCUGGGAGGCGGAGGCUGCAGUGAGGGGAGAUUGCACCAUUGCACUCCAGCCUGGACGACAGAGUGAGAUCCUGUAUCAAAAAGAAAAAAAAAUCAAAAUAUAACUCUCAAAAUGUUAAAAAAGAAUGUGCAUGUCAAUCCAGAGUGAGUAUACAUCAAAGAGACUUGAACUCAUUAAUGAAGAAACUAGGCUGGGCACGGUGGCUCAAGCCUGUAAUCCUAGCACUUUGGGAGGCCGAGGUGGAUAGAUUACCUGAGGUCAGGAUUUCAAGACCAGACUGGCCAAUAUGGUGAAACCCCAUCUCUACU
rnacentral:sRNA from 1 species